CUUUUGAGGCUACAACUAAAAAAGGAUAAUUAUCUGCAUAUAAAAACAGGUAUAAAUAGGUCAAACUGAUUUGUUUACAUUUUGUAUACAGGUGUGUGGAAAUGGCGAUGGAAUUAAUUUGCAUAUCUAUAUAAAUAUAGUAGAGUGCUAUUGCUUUUCUGUUUACAUGAUUAUAUGACAUAGCGCACAUAUUGAUAUUGUGGUACAUUGAAGCACAAAUUAUUACAUAUAUAUAUAUAACUAUACUAGUUGUUUCAUAUGAAAAAAAAAAGAAUUAGUUUC
rnacentral:lncRNA from 1 species